rnacentral:rRNA from 1 species
GAUGAACGCUGGCGGCGUGCCUAAUACAUGCAAGUCGAGCGAACAGAUGAGGAGCUUGCUCCUCUGACGUUAGCGGCGGACGGGUGAGUAACACGUGGAUAACCUACCUAUAAGACUGGGAUAACUUCGGGAAACCGGAGCUAAUACCGGAUAAUAUAUUGAACCGCAUGGUUCAAUAGUGAAAGACGGUUUUGCUGUCACUUAUAGAUGGAUCCGCGCCGCAUUAGCUAGUUGGUAAGGUAACGGCUUACCAAGGCAACGAUGCGUAGCCGACCUGAGAGGGGGAUCGGCCACACUGGAACUGAGACACGGUCCAGACUCCUACGGGAGGCAGCAGUAGGGAAUCUUCCGCAAUGGGCGAAAGCCUGACGGAGCAACGCCGCGUGAGUGAUGAAGGUCUUCGGAUCGUAAAACUCUGUUAUUGGGGAAGAACAAAUGUGUAAGUAACUAUGCACGUCUUGACGGUACCUAAUCAGAAAGCCACGGCUAACUACGUG